rnacentral:lncRNA from 1 species
AAAAGUAGACGAGAAAAUAAGCAUAAAAACUGUUGUAGUGACUUGAGAAUUGCAGAGCUCGGAGCAUCUACGGAAAUAGCUCACGUGGCUUUGAGGAAGCCAUCUGAGGUCCCGG